GAUGAACGCUGGCGGCGUGCCUAAUACAUGCAAGUCGAGCGAACAGACGAGGAGCUUGCUCCUCUGACGUUAGCGGCGGACGGGUGAGUAACACGUGGAUAACCUACCUAUAAGACUGGGAUAACUUCGGGAAACCGGAGCUAAUACCGGAUAAUAUAUUGAACCGCAUGGUUCAAUAGUGAAAGACGGUUUUGCUGUCACUUAUAGAUGGAUCCGCGCCGCAUUAGCUAGUUGGUAAGGUAACGGCUUACCAAGGCAACGAUGCGUAGCCGACCUGAGAGGGUGAUCAGCCACACUGGAACUGAGACACGGUCCAGAGUCCUACGGGAGGCAGCAGUAGGGAAUCGUCCGCAAUGGGCGAAAGCCUGACGGAGCAACGCCGCGUGAGUGAUGAAGGUCUUCGGAUCGUAAAACUCUGUUAUUAGGGAAGAACAAAUGUGUAAGUAACUAUGCACGUCUUGACGGUACCUAAUCAGAAAGCCACGGCUAACUACGUG
rnacentral:rRNA from 1 species